rnacentral:rRNA from 1 species
ACUAAGCUGGCAUGUUGUCAGUACAGGCCGCUUUAAGGCGAAACCGCGGAAUGGCUCAUUAAAUGAGAAUGCAUUUGAUUGAAUCCUAUUACUCGGAUAACCCUGGUAAUUCUAGAGCUAAUACGUGAUCUGAAAACUCCGACUUUACGGGAGGAGUGCUUUUAUUAGUUGAAAACCAAUCGGGCCUCGGUCCGUCAAAGCCAAUCUGUGACGACUCUGAAUAACUUUGUGCCGAGAGCACGGUCUCCGGACCGGCUCCGUAUCUUUCGAGUUUCUGCCUUAUCAUGUGUGGAUUGAGCCAUGCGCCUACGUGGCUGUUACGGGUGACGAGAAUCGGUUCAUUCCGGAAGGGAGCCUGAAAACGGCUACCACUCCAAGAAGGCAAGGCCGCAAAUUACCCAUUCCGCUCGGGGAGGGGGCAAAAAUAAUGCGGGAUCUUCCGAGUCUGCUAUUGGAAUGACACACUUUAAAUCUUUAGCAAACCAUUGGAGGGCAAGUCCGGGCCGGAGCGGGGUAAUUCCGCUCGAAUAGCGUAAUUAAGGUGGUGCGGUUUAAAAGUUCGUAUUCGAGGUGAGUUCCGGGAUGGCGGGGAAGUCACUUUGGGUGCUCCCCCUGGCUCCAAGCUUCCCGGAGUGGGAACAACCCGUUUUGCGGGGGCGCUUUACGAUGUCCCCCGCGGCGGGCAUUCACCUUGAAUAAAGAAGUGUUUCAAGACCGACUCUCUGUUGCCCAAAGUACCUCCCUGCAUAGGAAGAUCUCCGAUUCAUAAAUAGGUGUGAGAUACCCGAGGUUUAUUGAAAUAAGGGAUUGUGCGGGGACUCAUACUAUCAUGAGGUGAUUUUCUGUGUGUAUCCGCCUUAAAGACGUCACUUAUCGAAAACAGCGUUUUGUCCAAUGUUUUGAUUGAUCAUUGAAAUGUCAAUAGUUCUUCACAGAGAACUUCUUGGCAAUGCUAUUCGCGGUGUGUAUGUCCUA